UACGUAGGUGGCAAGCGUUGUCCGGAAUUACUGGGCGUAAAGGGUCCGUAGGCGGUUCGGUAAGUCUUUUGUGAAAACCCCAGGCUCAACUUGGGGACGCCGAGGGAUACUGCCGAACUAGAGACUGUCAGAGGCGAACGGAAUUCCCGGUGUAGUGGUGAAAUGCGUAGAUAUCGGGAGGAACUCCAGUGGCGAAAGCGGUUCGCUGGGACAGUUCUGACGCUGAGGGACGAAAGCGUGGGGAGCAAACAGG
rnacentral:misc_RNA from 1 species